UACGGAGGGUGCAAGCGUUAAUCGGAAUUACUGGGCGUAAAGCGCACGCAGGCGGUCUGUCAAGUCGGAUGUGAAAUCCCCGGGCUCAACCUGGGAACUGCAUCCGAAACUGGCAGGCUAGAGUAUGGCAGAGGAGUGUGGAAUUUCCGGUGUAGCGGUGAAAUGCGUAGAUAUCGGAAGGAACACCAGUGGCGAAGGCGACUCUCUGGUCUGUAACUGACGCUGAGGCGCGAAAGCGUGGGGAGCAAACAGG
rnacentral:misc_RNA from 1 species